GUGCCAGCAGCCGCGGUAAAACGUAGGUCCCGAGCGUUAUCCGGAUUUACUGGGCGUAAAGCGCGUUCAGGCGGCUGCUCAAGUCGGGCAUGAAAUCUCUCGGCUCAACCGGGAGGGGCUGUCCGAAACUGAGCGGCUUGAGGGCAGUAGAGGGUGGUGGAAUUCCGGGUGUAGUGGUGAAAUGCGUAGAGAUCCGGAGGAACACCAGUGGCGAAAGCGGCCACCUGGACUGUACCUGACGCUCAAACGCGAAAGCUAGGGGAGCGAACGGGAUUAGAUACCCUAGUAGUCC
rnacentral:rRNA from 1 species